rnacentral:rRNA from 1 species
CUGUGAGCUCGAUGAGUAGGGCGGGACACGUGGUAUCCUGUCUGAAUAUGGGGGGACCAUCCUCCAAGGCUAAAUACUCCUGACUGACCGAUAGUGAACCAGUACCGUGAGGGAAAGGCGAAAAGAACCCCGGCGAGGGGAGUGAAAAAGAACCUGAAACCGUGUACGUACAAGCAGUGGGAGCACAGAGCAAUCUGUGUGACUGCGUACCUUUUGUAUAAUGGGUCAGCGACUUAUAUUCUGUAGCAAGGUUAACCGAAUAGGGGAGCCGAAGGGAAACCGAGUCUUAACUGGGCGUUAAGUUGCAGGGUAUAGACCCGAAACCCGGUGAUCUAGCCAUGGGCAGGUUGAAGGUUGGGUAACACUAACUGGAGGACCGAACCGACUAAUGUUGAAAAAUUAGCGGAUGACUUGUGGCUGGGGGUGAAAGGCCAAUCAAACCGGGAGAUAGCUGGUUCUCCCCGAAAGCUAUUUAGGUAGCGCCUCGUGAAUUCAUCUCCGGGGGUAGAGCACUGUUUCGGCAAGGGGGUCAUCCCGACUUACCAACCCGAUGCAAACUGCGAAUACCGGAGAAUGUUAUCACGGGAGACACACGGCGGGUGCUAACGUCCGUCGUGAAGAGGGAAACAACCCAGACCGCCAGCUAAGGUCCCAAAGUCAUGGUUAAGUGGGAAACGAUGUGGGAAGGCCCAGACAGCCAGGAUGUUGGCUUAGAAGCAGCCAUCAUUUAAAGAAAGCGUAAUAGCUCACUGGUCGAGUCGGCCUGCGCGGAAGAUGUAACGGGGCUAAACCAUGCACCGAAGCUGCGGCAGCGACGCUGAUGCGUUGUUGGGUAGGGGAGCGUUCUGUAAGCCUGUGAAGGUGUGCUGUGAGGCAUGCUGGAGGUAUCAGAAGUGCGAAUGCUGACAUAAGUAACGAUAAAGCGGGUGAAAAGCCCGCUCGCCGGAAGACCAAGGGUUCCUGUCCAACGUUAAUCGGGGCAGGGUGAGUCGACCCCUAAGGCGAGGCCGAAAGGCGUAGUCGAUGGGAAACAGGUUAAUAUUCCUGUACUUGGUGUUACUGCGAAGGGGGGACGGAGAAGGCUAUGUUGGCCGGGCGACGGUUGUCCCGGUUUAAGCGUGUAGGCUGGUUUUCCAGGCAAAUCCGGAAAAUCAAGGCUGAGGCGUGAUGACGAGGCACUACGGUGCUGAAGCAACAAAUGCCCUGCUUCCAGGAAAAGCCUCUAAGCAUCAGGUAACAUCAAAUCGUACCCCAAACCGACACAGGUGGUCAGGUAGAGAAUACCAAGGCGCUUGAGAGAACUCGGGUGAAGGAACUAGGCAAAAUGGUGCCGUAACUUCGGGAGAAGGCACGCUGAUAUGUAGGUGAAGUCCCUCGCGGAUGGAGCUGAAAUCAGUCGAAGAUACCAGCUGGCUGCAACUGUUUAUUAAAAACACAGCACUGUGCAAACACGAAAGUGGACGUAUACGGUGUGACGCCUGCCCGGUGCCGGAAGGUUAAUUGAUGGGGUCAGCGCAAGCGAAGCUCUUGAUCGAAGCCCCGGUAAACGGCGGCCGUAACUAUAACGGUCCUAAGGUAGCGAAAUUCCUUGUCGGGUAAGUUCCGACCUGCACGAAUGGCGUAAUGAUGGCCAGGCUGUCUCCACCCGAGACUCAGUGAAAUUGAACUCGCUGUGAAGAUGCAGUGUACCCGCGGCAAGACGGAAAGACCCCGUGAACCUUUACUAUAGCUUGACACUGAACAUUGAGCCUUGAUGUGUAGGAUAGGUGGGAGGCUUUGAAGUGUGGACGCCAGUCUGCAUGGAGCCGGCCUUGAAAUACCACCCUU